rnacentral:tRNA from 1 species
GGGCGAGUGGCGGAACUUGGCAGACGCGCAGGAUUCAGGUUCCUGUGAGGGCAACCUCGUGGGGGUUCAAAUCCCCCCUCGCCCACCC